rnacentral:rRNA from 1 species
GAAUCGGCGGCGACCUCCGCCGUUGGGAGAGAACCUGGAAAGAGCGGAAGACAAUUCCUUCAUUGGGAGUGGACUUGCGGCGGCAUUAGCUAGUGGGUGGGGUACGCCCACCCAAGGGCGACGAUGGCGUAGCGACUGAGGAGGGGUGAUCGGCCACCAUUGGGACUGAGACACGGCCCAGACUCUACGGGAGGCAGCAGUAGGGAAUCUCGCAAUGGGCGAAAGCCUGACGGAGCAAUGCCGCGUGAGUGAUGAAGGUUUCGGAUCGUAAAGCUCUGUUGCCAGGGAAGAACGCUUGGGAGAGUAACUGCUCUCAAGGUGACGGUACCUGAGAAGAAAGCCCCGGCUAACUACGUGCCAGUAGCCGCGGUAAUACGUAGGGGGCAAGCGUUGUCCGGAAUUAUUGGGCGUAAAGCGCGCGCAGGCGGUCAUUUAAGUCUGGUGUUUAAUCCCGGGGCUCAACCCCGGAUCGCACUGGAAACUGGGUGACUUGAGUGCAGAAGAGGAGAGUGGAAUUCCACGUGUAGCGGUGAAAUGCGUAGAUAUGUGGAGGAACACCAGUGGCGAAGGCGACUCUCUGGGCUGUAACUGACGCUGAGGCGCGAAAGCGUGGGGAGCAAACAGGAUUAGAUACCCUGGUAGUCCACGCCGUAAACGAUGAGUGCUAGGUGUCAGGGGUUUCGAUACCCUUGGUGCCGAAGUUAACACAUUAAGCACUCCGCCUGGGGAGUACGGUCGCAAGACUGAAACUCAAAGGAAUUGACGGGGACCCGCACAAGCAGUGGAGUAUGUGGUUUAAUUCGAAGCAACGCGAAGAACCUUACCAGGUCUUGACAUCCCUCUGAUCGAUGCAGAGAUGUAUCUUUCCUUCGGGACAGAGGAGACAGGUGGUGCAUGGUUGUCGUCAGCUCGUGUCGUGAGAUGUUGGGUUAAGUCCCGCAACGAGCGCAACCCUUAUAUUUAGUUGCCAGCAUUUAGUUGGGCACUCUAAGGUGACUGCCGGUGACAAACCGGAGGAAGGUGGGGAUGACGUCAAAUCAUCAUGCCCCUUAUGACCUGGGCUACACACGUGCUACAAUGGAUGGUACAAAGGGCUGCGAGACCGCGAGGUCAAGCCAAUCCCAUAAAACCAUUCUCAGUUCGGAUUGUAGGCUGCAACUCGCCUACAUGAAGCUGGAAUCGCUAGUAAUCGCGGAUCAGCAUGCCGCGAUGUA